GUAGAUGGAGUCGUUUUAAAAAUUUUGGGAAUAAGCAUAUUCCUUUAGCGGAGGCUAUGGAGGCCACGGUGGAGCUCAUAUCUCCUCAAAUUCUCAGUAAAAAUUUAAAGGUUGAGACGGAUGAAGUUGGCUCUAAUUUGGGGGGCAACAUUGGCCUUGAAAACUAGGUUUGAUUUUCUUCGUUUACUUUAAAUUGUUUUUUCAUGAAUAUUUCUAUAUUUUCGUGGAAUUUUCAGGGUUGUGCUAAUGUUAAAUUUCCUAGAAUUUUUUAGGAACAUAAUAUGGAUUACAAGCCUGAUAUUGUUAGUCUUCUUGAACCAAGAGUAAGUGUGGUCAAGGUUGACAAAAUUAUUGCUAACUUAGGAUUCCAGUUUUUACAUCGGGUGGAGGCGAUUGGUUUUUCUGGGGGGAAUUUGGAUAGGAUGGAAAGAUACCGUUCGUCUUGAGAUGAUUUGUAGUCAUCUGCAAUUUAUCUUGUCUUGAGUUUGGCAGAUGCCCUCACCACAUCCUAUUUUUAUUUCUUUUGUCUAUGGUAGUCCCAACAAGCAAAUGCAUCAACUCCUUUAGAAUAAUUUGAAGAAUACAAUUAUAUCUGGACAGAUUCCAUGGAUGGCUAUUGGUGACUUCAAUGCGAUCCUUGCUUCCUCUGAGAAAUCUGGAGGACUCACUAAAGGAAGAAGAUGCUCAUAGUUUGGGGAUUUUGUUGACUCUGCUGAGCUAUAUGAUUUAGGGUCUAGAGGGCCACCCUUCACUUGGCAUAGGGGAUCUUUGUCUGAAAGACUUGACCGUGCCCUAGGAAGUGAGGAUUUGGCCCGUAAUUUCCUAACUGUUUGAUUACCCAUCUCUAAAAAAUUAAGUCAGAUCAUAAGUCUCUUCUCUUGGUUUUGAAUCCGAGUAUUUCUUUCCAUCGGGGAAGACUUUUUAGAUUUUUAGCAGGGUGGAUUGAACAUUCUAUUUCUCUUGGUAAGCUCACGCAUAAACUCAAGAAAUGGAAUAAGCAAGUUUAUGGUCAUAUCACCACUCGUAAAAGGGGUCUUAUCAAAAGAAUUGCUAACAUUCAGAGGCUAAGUGAUCAGUAUGGAUCCCAUCACUUAAAUAAGAUGGAUUUGUCUCUUCACCGAGAACUAGAGAAUGUGCUCCAUCAUGAAGAACUUCUUUGCAAGCAAAAGGUGCGAUGUGACUGGUUGAAGUUGGGGGAUAAGAACACCAAAUUUUUUCAUUCCCGAACUUUACAAAAGAGGAAAGACAACCGCAUUUAUGCUAUCCAAAAUUCUGACAAGACUUGGAUUUAUGAUCCAGAAGGCAUCGAAGGAGAAGCGAAUGAGUUUUUUCAAAGAUUAUAUAGUGAAGCUCCAGCGCCUUUGGGUAUUUUACCUCCUAACAGGUUUCCUCAAAUUGACCUUAUGGAUAUAAACUUUCUGGGAAAACCAAUCUUGUAACACCCCGCACCCGUGCCCUACCCUAGGACGGCUUACGAGGCGUUAUUAAACUUUAACACAUAUACACGAUCAUUUCUGAGUCAUCAAGACUUGAUCAAAUUUAAAACUUUUUCGAACUUUGUUUAACCUUCUUAAUACGGGCUUACAAGGCCUCAAACAUUCAUUAGAAACCACUUGAAACCAACUCGGGUCCUUAAACCGACUUAAUAAAAAUGAUUCUUGAAAUAGGGCACACGCUCAUAUGAAAGGGCAACAUGCCCGUGUCGUCAUUAUAACAUGGCCGUGCUGAUGGCCCGUACGGCACACACAGCCUAAGUACCUAGGGACAUGCCUAUGUCCCAUGGCCGUGUAGAUUUAUUUUUCAAUUCGAACCUAAAGGGGUUUUCACACGGCCUGACACACGCCCGUAUCCAUGGCCCGUGUCCCUCACACGGCCAUGACACGCCCGUGUCCUAGCUCAUGUCUAAAAAAACUUAACAUUCUAUUUCUGAUGUCAGCAUCCAAUUUAGGGCACACGGCCAAGGCACACGCCCGUGGCCAGAGGCCGUGUCUUCCACACGGCUGAGACAUACGGCUAUGUCUCUGCCCGUGUGUUUACUACCAUGCAUACUGACUUGCAAAUUUUACGUGCAGGGGACACAUGGCUUAACAACACCCUAUGGGGCUGACCAUGUGUCACACACGGCCUACACACGCCCGUGUGUCUAUUCGUGUGGACAAUAUCAGGCUAUUUACCAAGCUUUUUUGCCACCCUUACUUGCACUAACCUACAUAACAUCUAAUAUGAAAAAUCCACACAAAAAUAUAAGGUUUAAUUAGCCACAUAAGGCAUUAUCUCAUUCAUGCAAUUUACUCAUCCUUGAAAAUAUCAUCAUUUGCAUAUCAACAAUGAACAUUUGCCAUUAUCCAAGGCUUUAUACAAAAUAAAGAGAUUCAUCCCAAGUCAACACAUUUGGCCAAAUUAACAUUGACACAAAACUCAAAAGUCUAAGCCCUAUACUUUCCAUAUUCAAAAUAAUAAAACCAACUAUACCAAGCACUUUGAUUGAUAGUGUGAUCGAUGCCUCCGAAGUCCGAUAAUCCUCGAGCUAAGUAGGCAGCAUUGUAAGAAAAUGGAAACGAGAGGGAGUAAGCAUAAAGCUUAGUAAGUUGCAUGCAAAUUAAUAUAACAACAAUUUUACCCUUCAUCAUCAUGCUCAUAAUAAAAAAGUAGGCAUAAGCACAACUUACUCAUCACUAUCCAAUAUAAUUCACAUAGCAUAUAUUGAGCUCACGUCUCAUACAUUUCAAUUAGGUGCCUAUACCAUUCACAACAUGGUUACAGUUUUCUCGUUUAACUUGAACUGAAACUCUCAUCAUUGAACCGUUCGAAAUGCUAUCGAAUAUUCAUUAAACCUCAAGCAUAGGGUAUAAUGCCGAUGCCAUGUCCUAGACAUGGUCUUACACUGGCUCAUCCAUCAAGUCGAUGCCAUGUCCCAGACAUGGUCUUACAAUGACUAUCAAAAUUGAGGCCGAUGCCAUGUCCCAGACAAGGUGUUACACUAACACAUCUCGUAGCCGAUACAUGUCUCAGACAUGUCUUACACUGGCUUACGUUACGAGGCCGAUGCAUGUCCCAAACAUGUCUUACACUAGCUCUAGUCUCAAUGCCGAUGCCAUAUCCCAGACAUGGUCUUACACUGGCUCUCAUAAUGUGGCCAAUGCAUGUGCCAGACAUGUCUUACACUAGCACAUAAAUGACCCAAAUGUCAUGGCAUGAAUAUCUGCAUGAAUAUCUAAUUUGUUCCUAAGGUUCAUCCGAGAGUUCUAUUAUCUGAAUAUUCAUUAUACAUAACCGUUUCCACAAACAAGAAAUUUAUGCUAUAUCAAUUCAAACACAUAUACUAACAAUGUAGUUGUAUUGUUUACUCACAACUUACCUCGGAUUACAAAAUGUAGACGACUAGCUCGGCUUAGUCCACUUGUUUUGCUUUCCCCCGGUCUAGGCCUGAAUUUUGCACUUCUUGAUCUAUAAUGAUAAAAAAUCACAAAUUUGAUCAUUUUAUUUAUCUAGGUACUCAACAAUUUGUAAUUGGGCAAAAUGACCAUUUUGCCCCUAUACUUUUGCAAAAUGACUAUUUUACCCCUAGGUCUGAAAAUUGGUUUUUAUCUAAUUUCUUCAUAUGUCAAGCCUAGACGAUUACUUUUUAUAUAGAAGCAGCCCAAAAUUCUCAUUAUUUCACACAUUUCUCCCUUAUUUUACAGCUUAUGCAAAAUGGUCCUUAGUUAGGGUUUUCAUGAAAACUACUUUACAAAAGUUGUUUAUUACACUACCAUAACUCAUUUUCUUACAUAAAAUUUUAGAAAACAACAUGAACACACUCAUGGUAAAACCUAGACUUUCAACCAUUCUGCAAAAUAGUCUCCUUGUUAGAAAGCUCAUGCUACAAGAACCUCAAAAGUACAAAAAUAUUCAAGAAAAACCCUCAAAUCACUUACUUGCAAAGGCUUUAAGUUGCUGAAAAUUUUUCAAGCUUCCCUGGCCAUUUUCUUGGAGAAAAAUCGGUGGAGAAGAAAGAGAGAGAUGAAAAAAUGACAACUUUUGCUAUUUGUUUUAUUUUAUUCAAUUUCAACACCUAAUUUCACCAAAAUUUGACUUUUGACCACCUUUGUCUCCUAUGGCUGGCCAUGAUAUUCUAAAGGGUCUAAUUGCCCUUUAAAGACCUCCAAUUUAGGUUCUUUAGAUAUUUGACACCCUUAGCUAUCAAAAUAGGACUUUUGCACUUUAUGCGAUUUAGUCUUUUUUUCACAAUUAAGCAUGAAAUCACUACAAUUACUUCACCAAAAUUUUCAUGCAAAUAUAAACAUGUUAUAAAUUAAAAUUAAUAAUAAAAUACUUUCUUUGACUUUGGAUUGGUGGUCCCAAAACCAGUGUUCCGACUGGGCCCAAAAUUGGGCUGUUACAAAUCUCAAAUGAAGAAAUUAAGGUGGCACUCUUUGACAUGGCCCCACUUAAAGCUCCGGGUAGUGAUGGUUUUCAUGCCCUUUUUUUCCAAAAGUAGUGGGGCAUCAUUGGGGAUGUGGUUUGUGAUUAGGUUAGGAAGAUUUUCAAUGGAAACCUUAUUGAGCCCGAUAUGAAUAAUACUUUAAUUGUUCUCAUCCCGAAGGUUCAAAAUUCGGAAAUGUUUGGUCAGUUCCAGCCAAUAAGUCUCUAUUUGAUCCUCUACAAGUUAACAAUGAAGGUAAUCGCAAAUCAUUUUAAGCACAUUUUUCCUAAAAUAAUUGCACAAGAACAUGCAAGAUUUAUUGUAGGAAGGAAUAUCAACGAGAACAUUAGCUUAGCCCAAGAGGUAAUUCAUUCCAUGAGAAGCCAGAAAAAGAGGAUAUGGAUAGCAAUUAAAAUUGGUUUGGAGAAAGCCUAUGAUAGAGUAAGUUGGGACUUCAUUGAAGCUUCUCUCCGAGCGAUAGGUAUUCUCGAGUAUCUUAUAAAUGAUAUUAUGGUCUCUAUUUCUAACUCUACCAUGAUGGUUAUGUGGAAUAGAAUCCCAUUAUCUAAAUUCAGUCCUGUUAGAGGCAUCCGUCAAGGGUGCCCUCUUUCUCCUUAUCUUUUUGUACUUUGUAUGGAGUGGCUUGGUCAUCUUAUUUAGACUACUAUCUUGGAAGGAAAUUGGGAUCCCAUUCAGCUUUCUAGAGAUGGGCCAGCUAUCUUGUAUUUUUUUUGCAGAUGAUUUAGUUCUCUUUAGGAAGGCUGAUUCGAAGCGCUGUAAAACUUUGAAAGAUAUUUUGGAUAGAUUUUGUACGCUUUCUGGAUAUAAAAUCAAUGCUAGGAAGACUAACAUUUUCUUUUCUAAAGGUGUGGAUGAGGAUUCAAUGGAUACGAUUAGAACUAUGCUCGGGUUCUAGCGAGUGCAUAAUCUUGGUCAUUAUCUGGGAGUUCCUCUCCUUCACCAAAGGGUUACUAGUGGCACCCUGCAAUUUGUGUGGCAAAAGUGCGUGCUAAGCUUCAAAUUUGGGAAGCCAAAAAACUCUCUUUUACAGGGAGGAUCACUCUAGCUCAAUCAGUUCUCUUAUCUAUUCCUAGUUAUUUUAUGCAAUCCAUGAUGAUACCCAGGAACACUCGUGAUGAAAUUGAAAGGUUAGUUAAACAGUUUAUUUGGGGAUCAUCCGAAAUGAAUAAGAAGAUGGCUCUGGUCAGAUAGGAUUCCAUUUUCCAACCAAAAGUGUGUGGUGGUCUUGGUUUAAGAAACCUUCGAGAUCAGAAUAUUUCUUUUUUAAUAAAAUUAGGGUUUAAAUUGGUAUCUAAUAAGGAAGAUUUUUGGGUUCGUGUGCUUAGAUCAAAGUAUAGAGUAAAAGAUGAGUUGUCGAUUAGUAUUAAUAGAGAUAGAAGUUCCUUUAUUUGGAAGUCUAUUUCCAAAAUUUGGCCUCUUCUCCAUAAGAAUUUACAUUGGCCUGUUGGUGAUGGUCACAAAAUCUAGUGCUGGCAGGAUAAUUGGAUUCCUGAUAUUGGACCCUUGUUUAGACAUAUCUCUCCUGAUGCUAAUAUGAAUUAUGAUUUCUUCUGAGCGAGAUGGUUACUGAGGAUGGCUCAUAGAACUUAGACCUCUUUCAAAUUUGGUUAUCGGAAGGGGUGAUUCAGGUUAUUAAAAGCAUUCCUCCUCCAUUUCCUUCAGAAAGUUCUGAUAGAAUUUCUUGGAAUCACACUUCGUCUGGGGUUUUUACUGUUAAGUCUGCCUAUAAGGCCAUCAAGGGAGGAGAUUGGAAUCUGGAUGAUGAAAAAUGGAAGAUGGCUUGGAAAUUUCCUGGACCUCAAUGGAUUCGAACCUUUAUUUGGACGAUACUACAAGGAAGAAUUCUCAGUAAUGUUGAACAAGUUAGGAGAGGUAUCUCGAAUGACCCUUCAUGUCACAUCUGUGGUUUUCAAUCAGAAAAUAUUUUACAUAUCGUACAUGAUUGUCUGGCAGCUAAAGAUGUUUGGAAUCAGGUUAGUCCAGGUAGGUAUAUCCCAAACUUUUUUUCUUCUCCUUUUCAAGAUUGGUUCCUUCUUAAUUUGCAGGGAAAUAGGUUGAUUCAUAAGGGGGAACUAGCUGGGCUUGUUUCUUUGGGAUGCUCAUUUGGCGCUUAUGGAAAAAUUGGAAUUUAUACAUCUUUCAAGGCAAGCCUUGGAGUGCAAAAGAAAUAGUCCAAGGAUCUUGUAGUUAGGCGUUACAUUUUUUCUCUUCCUCUCAAGAGGUCCCUGCUAG
rnacentral:lncRNA from 1 species